rnacentral:rRNA from 1 species
CGAACGCUGGCGGCGUGCUUAACACAUGCAAGUCGAACGGUGAAGCGCCUUCCUUUUUGGUGGGUGUGGAUGAGUGGCGAACGGGUGAGUAACACGUGAGUAACCUGCCCCCUUCUUCUGGAUAACCGCAUGAAAGUGUGUCUAAUACGGGAUAUUCUGGGUCUGUCGCAUGAUGGGUCUGGGAAAGAUAUUGUUUCGGUGGGGGAUGGGCUCGCGGCCUAUCAGCUUGUUGGUGGGGUGAUGGCCUACCAAGGCGGUGACGGGUAGCCGGCCUGAGAGGGUGGACGGUCACACUGGGACUGAGACACGGCCCAGACUCCUACGGGAGGCAGCAGUGGGGAAUAUUGCACAAUGGGCGCAAGCCUGAUGCAGCGACGCCGCGUGAGGGAUGGAGGCCUUCGGGUUGUGAACCUCUUUCGCCAGUGAAGCAGGCCUGCCUCGUUUGUGGGUGGGUUGACGGUAGCUGGAUAAGAAGCGCCGGCUAACUACGUG